UACGUAGGGUGCAGGCGUUAAUCGGAAUUACUGGGCGUAAAGCGUGCGCAGGCGGUCUUUUAAGUCAGAUGUGAAAUCCCCCGGGCUUAACCUGGGAACUGCGUUUGAAACUGGAAGGCUAGAGUGUGGCAGAGGGGGGGUGGAAAUUCCGACGUGUAGCAGUGAAAUGCGUAGAGAUGUGGAGGAACACCGAUGGCGAAGGCAGCCCCCUGGGCUAACACUGACGCUCAUGCACGAAAGCGUGGGGAGCAAACAGG
rnacentral:rRNA from 1 species